AAGCCUAUAGUUCAAUGGUGAGAGCACGCCGCUCAUAACGGUGAAGUUAUAGGUUCAAGUCCUAUUAGGCUUA
rnacentral:tRNA from 1 species